rnacentral:rRNA from 1 species
UACGAAGGGGGCUAGCGUUGCUCGGAAUCACUGGGCGUAAAGCGCACGUAGGCGGUUCGUUAUGUCGGAUGUGAAAGCCCUUGGCUUAACCGAGGAAGUGCAUCCGAAACUGGCGAGCUAGAGUACUAAAGAGGAUCGCGGAAUUCCCGGUGUAGAGGUGAAAUUCGUAGAUAUCGGGAGGAACACCGGUGGCGAAGGCGGCGAUCUGGGUAGAUACUGACGCUGAGGUGCGAAAGCGUGGGGGAGCAAACAGG